rnacentral:rRNA from 1 species
UACGUAGGGUCCGAGCGUUGUCCGGAAUUAUUGGGCGUAAAGGGCUCGUAGGCGGUUUGUUGCGUCGGGAGUGAAAACUCGGAGCUUAACUCCGAGCUUGCUUCCGAUACGGGCAGACUAGAGGUAGGCAGGGGAGAGCGGAACUCCUGGUGUAGCGGUGGAAUGCGCAGAUAUCAGGAAGAACACCGAUGGCGAAGGCAGGUCUCUGGGCCAUAACUGACGCUGAGAAGCGAAAGCAUGGGGAGCGAACAGG